UACGUAGGUGGCAAGCGUUGUCCGGAUUUACUGGGCGUAAAGAGCGCGCAGGCGGUCGUGCAAGUCGCGUGUGAAAGCCCCCGGCUCAACUGGGGAGGGUCACGCGAUACUGCUCGACUCGAAGGCAGGAGAGGGAAGUGGAAUUCCCGGUGUAGUGGUGAAAUGCGUAGAUAUCGGGAGGAACACCAGUGGCGAAGGCGACUUCCUGGCCUGUUCUUGACGCUGAGGCGCGAAAGCUAGGGGAGCAAGCGGGG
rnacentral:rRNA from 1 species